UACGUAGGGUGCGAGCGUUAAUCGGAAUUACUGGGCGUAAAGAGUGCGUAGGCGGUUCUUGAAGUCCGCUGUGAAAGCCCCGGGCUUAACCUGGGAAUGGCAGUGGAAACUGGGGGACUUGAAUUGAGCAGAGGGGGGUGGAAUGCCGCGUGUAGCAGUGAAAUGCGUAGAGAUGCGGCGGAACACCGGUGGCGAAGGCGGGUCUCUGGGCCGAUACUGACGCUGAGGAGCGAAAGCGUGGGGAGCGAACAGG
rnacentral:rRNA from 1 species